rnacentral:rRNA from 1 species
UUACCAGAAAGGGACGGCUAACUACGUGCCAGCAGCCGCGGUAAUACGUAGGUCCCGAGCGUUAUCCGGAAUUAUUGGGCGUAAAGGGCACGUAGGCGGACAAAUAAGUUUGAUGUCAAAUAUGAUGGCUCAACCAUCAAGAGGCGUUGAAAACUGUUUAUCUAGAAUCUCGGAGAGGUAAGUGGAAUUCCAUGUGUAGCGGUGGAAUGCGUAGAUAUAUGGAGGAACACCAAUGGCGAAGGCAGCUUACUGGACGAAGAUUGACGCUGAGGUGCGAAAGCGUGGGUAGCAAACAGGAUUAGAUACCCUGGUAG